AUGUAUAUAUAUAUAUAUAUAUAUAUCCUUAGUAACAGAGAACGGAAAGGGAACGUUAGACUUUGGUUCUCUAAAGGUUAGGUUAUAACCAAACCAAAAGCUACCACUUAAAAAUGUUCCCUUUGGUUACAGAAAAAAACAAACAAAGGCUAACGUUCCUUGAACUUUUAGGGAACCACCCAUAUGAAACGUUAGCCAGUAGUUACACUGCUACCACCCCACAACGUUAUGCUUAGUUGUUUUUCGGUUGUUUUGAGAACCAGUGCU